rnacentral:rRNA from 1 species
CGAAGUGUAAACCUCUUUUGCCUGAGACGAAUUGUCAGCUUUAGCUGAUUUGACUGUAUCGGGUGAAUAAGCACCGGCUAACUCCGUGC